rnacentral:rRNA from 1 species
UGGGGAAUAUUGCACAAUGGGCGCAAGCCUGAUGCAGCCAUGCCGCGUGUAUGAAGAAGGCCUUCGGGUUGUAAAGUACUUUCAGUCGGGAGGAAGGUGGUAAGGUUAAUAACCUUGGCAAUUGACGUUACCGACAGAAGAAGCACCGGCUAACUCCGUGCCAGCAGCCGCGGUAAUACGGAGGGUGCAAGCGUUAAUCGGAAUUACUGGGCGUAAAGCGCACGCAGGCGGUUGAUUGAGUCAGAUGUGAAAUCCCCGGGCUUAACCCGGGAAUUGCAUCUGAUACUGGUCAGCUAGAGUCUUGUAGAGGGGGGUAGAAUUCCAUGUGUAGCGGUGAAAUGCGUAGAGAUGUGGAGGAAUACCGGUGGAGAAGGCGGCCCCCGGGACAAAGACUGACGCUCAGGUGCGAAAGCGUGGGGAGCAAACAGG